AUAAAAGCAGGGCUCUGUUGCCUUUAGUGAACAGGGCUCUCGUAAACUUCAGGGAAAUUAUAUGCAUUGUUAUUGGGUGAACCUCUGUAAACAAUAAUUUCUGAAGGUUCAGUAAAUGAUGCUACAUUA
rfam:Cucumis sativus cultivar 9930 chromosome 6, whole genome shotgun sequence.